rnacentral:lncRNA from 1 species
CAACGUUUAUUUUUACUAUCAGUAUGAUAUUUUCAUCAUGUUUUCGGUUAACCCAUGAUGUUACAGUUAAUAAGUUUAAAAUUGAUGACAUGACUUUGACCUACUCAAUUUGUGCCACGUGGAUCAAUAAUUAAAUAAAUUUUAAAAUUUUAAAACAAAUACAAAAUAUAAAUAAAUAAACUUAAAAUAAAAAUAAAAAACCAUUCUCAGCCGCCCCCACCUUCUUCCCCAAACCCUAGCACCCCAUCUCCUCAAUGCACAUCGCCAUCUCCUCACCGUCUCUCUCUCUUCGGAUGAACCCAAGCGCAGCCCCAUCUCCCAUACUUUCUCUCUUCGAUUUAGUCAUGUUUUUUGGUUUUUUUUCAAAUUUUUGUUAAGCAAAACAAUAAUUACAAAAAUCAAAUUUCUCUCUCUACGACAGUCACCCGCUAUCUUUCUUCUCCCACCGAACGGAACGGACGUCGUCGACUAGAGCUUGCGGGCCUCCGUGAAGGGUUGACAACCCCAAACGACCAAACCUCACAGCUAGAAAAACCCACCCCAACCACCACCCUGGCGAAGCAAACCCAAGCAACCCAUACCCACUAUUCCCACCACCCCCAGCGAACCAAAUCACCCAUGCCUUGCGCCUUCUCCCUCGCUGCACAUCCCAUCCACAAAAAUUCUCAGCCAACCAACCUCUUCUUUUCCUCCCCAAAUUCAACAUUUAUUUCCCAAAUUCAACCACUAAUGAAGUCACCCUCUGAGGACAUUAGAGUACUACCUGAUCUUCAGAACCCUUAUCAUUCUUACCAAUCUCCUGUUUUCUUCUUCUAUUAUGAUAAUUUUUUUAUUUAAAAAAAAAAAAACAAAAAAAAAAACAGAGUGGGUAGUGGUAAUGGUGCGGAUCUGAUUUCGCAGGCACUGGGUUGUGGCUUGGGAGUGGGAGAUGGGUGCUAGUGCUGGAGAUCUCGACAUGGAGAUGGUGGAUUGUGGCUUGGGAGCGGGAGAUGGUGCUAAUGCUGGAGAAAAAAAAAAUUAUUUAAUUUGUUUUUCCAUUUUUAAUAGUUAGCUUGUUUUUUUAUUCCACGUGGCACAAUAUAAGUGAAUCUAAGCAGGACUAUUGAUUGCCACGUCAUCAUUUAGCAGAGCAUUUGACAGGAUAACUG